rnacentral:rRNA from 1 species
GGCUCAGAACGAACGCUGGCGGCAGGCUUAACACAUGCAAGUCGAGCGCCCCGCAAGGGGAGCGGCAGACGGGUGAGUAACGCGUGGGAACGUACCUUUUGYUACGGAAUAACUCAGGGAAACUUGUGCUAAUACCGUAUGUGCCCUUCGGGGGAAAGAUUUAUCGGCAAAGGAUCGGCCCGCGUUGGAUUAGCUAGUUGGUGAGGUAAAGGCUCACCAAGGCGACGAUCCAUAGCUGGUCUGAGAGGAUGAUCAGCCACACUGGGACUGAGACACGGCCCAGACUCCUACGGGAGGCAGCAGUGGGGAAUAUUGGACAAUGGGCGCAAGCCUGAUCCAGCCAUNCCGCGUGAGUGAUGAAGGCCCUAGGGUUGUAAAGCUCUUUCACC